AUGACCUUUGAGCUUCUAAGAGAAAUCAGAUUCUUCUUCCUCUUCUUUCAUCAACAGCGGCCGCGACCUCCCUUUAUCCUCCGAUACACAACCAUCGCUGUGAAUCCGCAAGACAAAAUCCAACACCGUCGUUCAUUCUCUUUUCCUACUCAACUUCUCGGGUCUUCCCUAAGCUCAAUCGCUCUUCUUAUCGCCGCCAAACAGACCAUGAAUACCUCCUUCUCAUCCUCGCCAAGCUUCUUCCUCACUCCCUAUCGUUCUCUUCCAUCGACGAUUCCAAUUUCUGAGGAUCUCCCGUCUUCAUCUGAUCUUGUUUGUUCAGGAUUCGAGGUUCGGCGAUUCGUUCCUCAGUCGUGA